UCCCCCUUGCUCUCUUUCCAAAUGUGAUGUGACCCUGGCAAGGCCACACACUGGAUGAAGCACAGAGGCCCCCAAGUCCUCUGUGGUGCUUGCGGACUCCUGUCUUUGAUCUUGCUCUCCUACUCCUCACCAUGUAGUAGCCCCGGCUACAUUUUGGUUUAAAGGGAAGUGCUCUGUUCUGUGGGAAGCCAACAGUUGUGAAAUGGCUUUCCUGAGCAAUCCUGAGUGGGCUGGAUGCUUCAGAAUCCCCUGGACCCAGCAAAACUGAUCAAUCUACAGAGAAAUUAAAAAGCCAGCAUCCCCAGACAGAAACCCACACCUGAGGAGCAUCAGGGUUUGGGGAGGUCUGGGAAACCAAGCCAAAGAUGAACCCUUAGCCAUGGCUGCAUUUUCCAGUGGGGAGCCCCUUCCUCUGAAAUGAGAGAAGAGGAAGUUGGAAGCUCAUCCAUGGACAUGUGCCUGGUCCUGCCUGACUUUGAGAAACACUGGAGAGAACAGACUCACCAUGACUUUCCUAUCCAGAGAUGCUUCCAAAAUCUACAAUCAAUGAGUUACUUGUGUGGAGAGGUUAAACAUGCCAAGGUUUCACCAGCCAUGAGCUUCACCAGCAGUGGGGAGAGGGGAGUCUGGAAAGCCGGGAGAUUAUUUCUUGUUUCUCAGCCAGGCUCAUCUUCGGGCUCUGCAGGGGCAGCCUUACUUUACAGUCAGUCUUGGGAGGAGUGUUCUCCAAGGGAGGGUAAGGAUAGCCAGGUUUAAAGAGCAAGGAAAGGGAGACAAAAGGCAAGCCCAGAGGCAGGUGCCAGUGGCUGUUGUAGCUAGUCCCUUUGCCUCUUCUUCAGGCCAUUUUCAUUGCCACUUGUGUCAGCUCUGUAAGACCACAGGAGCUUCCAGGUGGUCCUAGCCCCAGACUCUAAUUUUGCUUGAAAUCCACUAAUUCAGAUUCUCCAAUGGCUGUGCCCUUCCUGGCAUGGCCCACCUCCUCUGCACUUUCCCCCUGGAGUAAAUGUACAGGAAUGGGAGAGCUAGUCAGAGAGGUGACCAGAAGGUGAGAGAUUCAUUUUUGUUUCCAUCCAAAUCAUAGAUGUGUAAAAUCAGAACUUUCUC
rnacentral:lncRNA from 1 species